AGGUGGUUCAUUUUCGAUUAUUAGAGAAGCCAACAGAAGAACAUUUUAGCAUAGAGUUGUCAAAGCUUGAUUCAUAUGAUACUGUUGUAGAAAAAGUAGCAUACCAACUUGGUCUGGAUGAUCCAUCAAAAAUCCGACUUACACUGCAUAACUGCUACUCUCAGCAACCUAAACCUCAACCCAUCAAAUUUAGAGGGGUGGAUCAUCUAUCUGACAUGCUUGUCCAUUUGUCCCUGAGUUCUGAUAUACUGUACUAUGAAGUACUCAACAUACCAUUACCUGAACUGCAAGGUUUAAAAACUCUGAAAGUUGCAUUUCAUCAUGCC